CCUACGGGAGGCUGCAGUGGGGAAUAUUGCACAAUGGGCGAAAGCCUGAUGCAGCAACGCCGCGUGAACGAAGAAGGCCCUUGGGUCGUAAAGUUCUGUCCAAAGGGAAGAUAAUGACGGUACCUUUGGAGGAAGCCCCGGCUAACUACGUGCCAGCAGCCGCGGUAAUACGUAGGGGGCAAGCGUUAUCCGGAAUUAUUGGGCGUAAAGGGUACGUAGGUGGUCUUUUAAGCGCAGGGUUUAAGGCAAUGGCUUAACCAUUGUAUGCCUUGCGAACUGAAGGACUUGAGUGCAGGAGGGGAAAGCGGAAUUCCUAGUGUAGCGGUGAAAUGCGUAGAUAUUAGGAGGAACACCAGUGGCGAAGGCGGCUUUCUGGACUGUAACUGACACUGAGGUACGAAAGCGUGGGGAGCAAACAGGAUUAGAUACCCGGGUAGUC
rnacentral:rRNA from 1 species